rnacentral:rRNA from 1 species
GAUUAACGCUAGCGGCAGGCCUAAUACAUGCAAGUCGAGGGGCAGCAGGGUGUAGCAAUACAUCGCUGGCGACCGGCGCACGGGUGCGUAACACGUAUGCAACCUACCUUUAACUGGGGAAUAGCCCUCCGAAAGGAGGAUUAACACCGCAUAACAUCACGAGACGGCAUCGCCUUGUGAUCAAACCUCCGGGGGUUAAAGAUGGGCAUGCGUCCGAUUAGCUAGUUGGCGGGGUAACGGCCCACCAAGGCGACGAUCGGUAGGGGUCUGAGAGGAUGAUCCCCCACACUGGUACUGAGACACGGACCAGACUCCUACGGGAGGCAGCAGUAAGGAAUAUUGGACAAUGGUCGCAAGACUGAUCCAGCCAUGCCGCGUGCAGGAUGAACGAUCUAUGAUCUGUAAACUGCUUUUGUUCGGGAAUAAACCCCUUCACGUGUGGAGGGCUGAAUGUACCGAAAGAAUAAGGGUCGGCUAACUUCGUGCCAGCAGC